GUUACAUAAGCCCUGACCACCAGGACGCAUUAGAUCCCUCUCUUUCUCCCUCUCUAUUUUAUAGAAUUCACCGAUUCUCUGGAAUAUGAUAGUGGGAGGAGAAUGAAAUGAAACUGUGUAACCUCUGAACAACCCCUGAAGUUUGAGAUGUCUCAAGGCGAGGGUGAACGAGAAAGAGGAAGCACUGAAAGUGAGACUGUCUUGUUUAACUGAAAGUGAGAAUUAUGGUAUUAAAAGGAAGUAGAACAACUGUAGCCAUGGAGACCAGCUCAAUGGAAAGAUGAGGAUAUUUUUGAAGGAUGGGCUGCUAUUGUUUGAGAGAAGGACAUGGAGGGAACAAGAGAUCAAACCCAUGGUAGCGAUUGGAUUGACUCAGCCCUAUACCCCCAUCCUUUCGCAACUGCAUUUGCGUAGUUUAGGGUCAGAAUGUCAAGGCUGUUGCUAUUAGUUACCGAACACGCAUGAGGGAACACUUGUAGAAAAUCGAAAGAACUUAACAAGGCAAAAGAUGUUACAAUAGACAUGUUUUAUAUCAAUGUUAUCAUCCAUAACGUGUUUAAUCAGGAAUAAAACUCUUUGGCUGUUAUGUUAUGGGUGGAAUAGUUUCUUCCGCAACCGUGAUGUUUAUUGCAUGAGAGAGACAGACAUAUGAGCGGAUGAGAGGAGAGAUGAAAGACAGAUAGUACCAGGGGGCGCAGCAGGCCAGUCUGCUGAACGAAUAGAAAUAAACAGACUUAAUCGGAAAAGAGGCAACAAGGAGAAAAGCAGAUCUCCCAGGACCUCAAGCCUCAAGAUGGACACGAGAAGCGGACAGGGAUGAAACGGUGAGGGAGCAACGGAUGGGGGAGGAGGAAGAGGAGGCCGAACAGGGAGCCGCAUUGAACACAGCACUCUGUUUGCUCUCUGGUUGUUCCACUAACCUACUUACUGUAAUCUUCUCUCUGUGUUUCAUAAGAGCCCUGCCAGAGAAUUACAUCACCAAGCUUUUCCACACACAGUCGCUCUCUUGUCAUCAUUGCCAUUUAGGAUUUUGAAAGGUGCACAGAUCAAAUGCACAUGGAGGAACAUGUGGAUUUGUGGUUUUUGUCUAACAUAUUGGCUCAUUAUUUGGUGCUCAGGUGCUUGAAUUGUUUUGACAGAAUGUGGAACACAUGUUUUUGGUUGUCUGAAAUGUUCACAUAUAAUU
ensembl:lncRNA